rnacentral:tRNA from 1 species
GCCUGGGUGGCGGAAUUGGUAGACGCAGCAGACUUAAAAUCUGCCGGCCUUUUGGCCAUGCCGGUUCGAUCCCGGCCCUAGGCA